rnacentral:rRNA from 1 species
AGGAUCAUUAAUCGAAUGAACAUGUUUCUCAGCAUGAAUUUCNNNNNNNNNCUGUGUACCAUACCUGUUGCUUCCGUGCUGCGUAUGNGCCAAUGCGUGCCACCAAGGUCUACUCCCAGAGUGGAGGGGCCCUGGUGUGUCGGCANGGAAGGUUUUUACAGNAAACUCUUGCAUUUCCAUGUCUUCUGUCUGAACUGUCAUAUAUAAUAAGUUAAAACUUUCAACAACGGAUCUCUUGGUUCUCGCAUCGAUGAAGAACGCAGCGAAAUGCGAUAAGUAGUGUGAAUUGCAGAAUUCCGUGAAUCAUCGAAUCUUUGAACGCACAUUGCGCCUCCUGGUAUUCCGGGAGGCAUGCCUGUUCGAGCGUCAUUAAAAUCAUAUCAAGCGAUUCCGCANGGUAAUGGAGGAAGAGUUCACCUGGUGUGGACUCCCCACCGAAAUGAAAUGGCGGAAAGUCUCCGAUACUAGGCGUAGUAGUAACGUUCGCUUUGUAUUUGGAGUCAUUCCUGCCAGCAAAACCCCCACAAUUCUCUUGAUUGACCUCGGAUCAGGUAGGGAUACCCGCUGAACUUAAGCAUAUCAAUAAGCGGAGGAAAAGAAACCAACAGGGAUUGCCUUAGUAACUGCGAGUGAAGCGGCAAAAGCUCAAAUUUGAAAUCGGUGUCCAUUAAGUGCAUCGAGUUGUAAUUUGGAGGGACAACUUCGGAGCGAACCACACCGUAAGUUUUUUGGAACAGGACAUCAUAGAGGGUGAGAAUCCCGUGUCUUGGUGUAGGGUCAAACCAUGUGAAGUGUCUCCGACGAGUCGAGUUGUUUGGGAAUGCAGCUCAAAAUGGGUGGUAAAUUUCAUCUAAAGCUAAAUAUUGGCGAGAGACCGAUAGCGCACAAGUAGAGUGAUCGAAAGAUGAAAAGCACUUUGAAAAGAGAGUUAAAAAGUACGUGAAAUUGUUGAAAGGGAAGCGCUUGCGACCAGACUCGAUCUUUGGAGAUCAGCCGGGCUUCUGUCCGGUGCCCUCUCCAUCGAUUGGGCCAGCAUCGGUUCUGACGGUGGGAUAAAAGGAGGAGGAAUGUGGCUCCCCUUGGGGAGUGUUAUAGCCACCUUCACAAUGCUACCAGUUGGGACCGAGGACCGCGCUC